UAGGGAAUCUUCGGCAAUGGACGAAAGUCUGACCGAGCAACGCUGCGUGAGUGAAGAAGGUUUUCGGAUCGUAAAACUCUGUUGUUAGAGAAGAACAAGGACGUUAGUAACUGAACGUCCCCUGACGGUAUCUAACCAGAAAGCCACGGCUAACUACGUGUCAGCAGCCGCGGUAAUACGUAGGUGGCAAGCGUUGUCCGGAUUUAUUGGGCGUAAAGCGAGCGCAGGCGGUUUCUUAAGUCUGAUGUGAAAGCCCCCGGCUCAACCGGGGAGGGUCAUUGGAAACUGUGAGACUUGAGUGCAGAAGAGGAGAGUGGAAUUCCAUGUGUAGCGGUGAAAUGCGUAGAUAUAUGGAGGAACACCAGUGGCGAAGGCGGCUCUCUGGUCUGUAACUGACGCUGAGGCUCGAGAGCGUGGGGAGCAAACAGG
rnacentral:rRNA from 1 species